rnacentral:lncRNA from 1 species
UUUUUUUUUCUUCUCUCUUUUUUUUUUUUUUUACAAAAUCCAUUGCUUUUGAUAAUAAAGUAAAAAACAUUUAUUAGUCAACUUUGCUGGGGGCAACAAACAACCCUAAAAUUUCGGUUACUUACAACAAAGGUUUACUUUUUAUCACGUUACAUGUUAGUUAUAGGUCAUUGUGGGGUCAACUGUGGGGCUGCUCCAUGGAUAACAUUCAUUCCAGAACUCAGCUGGAGGAGCAGCUCCUCUAUGGAAUAAGCCAUUCUGGUGGCAAAGGGAAAAAAGCUAGAGAGCUGUUGUCAACAGGGAGUGGCCUGAAGGCAUCUGUUCACAGGUCACAUGAGUGAGUCCCAUGUCAGUGGGGCAGAAAUGUGUACUCCUCUCAUGGUGGGCACUAACAGUCCAAUGGCAAUGACUGGAGAUGUGUAAUUCUCUCACAGGAAGGAAAAGUGAAGCACUGGGAAGCAUAAUAAAAAUCUACAGCACACUCCUUAUCUUAGCGUAAAACACAGCUGGCCUCGUCUCCCACCAUUCCUUAUCUUGUCUGUGCUCUGGCCACAUUGAAUGGUCUCCUUUCUCCCUAAACACAUGAUGCCACACUUUCAUGUCUGUUUCCUAUGCUGGAAAUGAAAUUCCCUUCAUUUUCUGCCAAACAGAGUGGCUCUCUGCCUGCAAGGUCCAGUUCACAUUCUGCCUACUUUAUAAAGCCUUUCCCAACUCUCCAGUUGAAAUUAAGCACUCCUCCUUUGGAGCAAAUGGGGCAGACUGGCUGUACAUCCAGCUCUAAUUCAAUCUUACUUGGUCAGUCUGGUAACUUCCUUGGUAAGUUCUUUAUUGGUAAGUCUGGAUAAAAAGCUACUGAAGGUUGGGAGGCCAAGGCGGGUGGAUCACUUGAGGUCAGGAGUUCAAAACCAGCCUGGUGAACAUGGUGAAACCCCAUAUCACUAAAAAUACAAAACAAUUAGCCGGGUGGUGACUGUGGCAGGGGCCCAUAAUCCCAGCUACUCUGGAGGCUGAGACAGGAGAAUUGCUUAAACCCAGGAGCUGGAGGUUGCAGCAAGCUGAAAUUGCACCACUGCAUUCCAGCCUGGGCGACAGAACAAGUCUCCAUCUUAAAAAAAAAAAAAAAAA